CCUGCGUGUGCAGGUCGGGAUGUGAGUCGCGCCGCGCGCGACUUGAACCACGCA
rfam:Haloarcula marismortui ATCC 43049 chromosome I, complete sequence.